rnacentral:tRNA from 1 species
CUCGACGUAGCUCAGCUUGGCAGAGCGCCUAGUUCGGGUCCAGGAAGCGUCAGUAAGUGGCCUGUCGUCAGGCCAUCAAAUCUGGCCGUCGAGACCA